GAGUGAAGCCACGGGCAGAGAAGUUGUGUGUUGCUAAUCAGCGUUGUUUGGUGGAUUUGUGUCUGUUUUAAACCAAACCACAUCUUUAUUCACCAGUGUGGAAUAAAGCAACAUUAUUUAUUUACCUCGUCUCAUGCAUUCUAAUCGAUGCACCACUGUGAUCAUCACCUUUAAACUGGCAAACUUAGUUGAAUACUUCUCAACAUUUAUUAUUUGCAUGAACUUCAAAAUAAUUGUUACCAUGAUUUCGUGUAAUCAUAUAAUAUGAUGUAGGAUAAUUGAUGAAACAUAAUCGACAGUCGUAUUUACUGUUUGUGGCAAGCUCUACAGACAUUUGUGCACACCUUCAGGGCAUCAACGACAACAGAACAAAAAAUAAGUAUUUCUGGAAAUACAACAAGAGAAAGCUAAACCUCCAAGGAAGCGCAGACGCUACUCGACACUCAGACAGUCUAACGCCACAACAUGGACAACACCAAGAAACUGCUGAUGGAUGCUCUUGAGCAGCUUGUGAGUGCAGAUUUUAAGCGUUUUAUGUGGCACCUGUGGAACGGCGUGGGGGAAGAUAUCGCCCCGGUUCCUUGAGCGUUGCUGGAGAACGCAGACCGGCAGGACGUGGUGGACUGUAUGGUUCAGAGAUACAGCAUUGAAGCUGGAAUUGUGGCGGUGCAAGUGCUGUGCAACAUCAACCAGAACACCCUGGCAAAGAGACUCAACCUUAAACUUCAGCAGGCAAAACAGUAAUGCAGAGAUUAGCAGAAGAGAUUGGUCUCUCUUUGAGUCUCUGCUAUAUAAAACUGAUCCGAUCCUGCAAGACGUUCAGUGGCGUAUGGAAGCGGCUGAUCCAUUCAUCUUCAGCAUCUCUAAAGAAAGACGUUAAAUCAUAAUAGUAAAUGGUUUAAUUAUCAGCUGCAGUGAUGUGUGUUUUUAAUUCUGCAUCUCUUUGCUUUUAUUAAAAUGGUUUGGCAGCUACUCUAAAUGGUUUAACCUCAAUAAAAAUGACAAUAAAAACAGCAAUGAUGAACUAAAAUAACAUCUAUCUUCAUUCAGCUAUU